GACGAACGCUGGCGGCGUGCUUAACACAUGCAAGUCGAACGGAAAGGCCCUGCUUUUGUGGGGUGCUCGAGUGGCGAACGGGUGAGUAACACGUGAGUAACCUGCCCUUGACUUUGGGAUAACUUCAGGAAACUGGGGCUAAUACCGGAUAGGAGCUCCUGCUGCAUGGUGGGGGUUGGAAAGUUUCGGCGGUUGGGGAUGGACUCGCGGCUUAUCAGCUUGUUGGUGGGGUAGUGGCUUACCAAGGCUUUGACGGGUAGCCGGCCUGAGAGGGUGACCGGCCACAUUGGGACUGAGGUACGGACCAGACUCCUACGGGAGGCAGCAGUGGGGAAUCUUGCACAAUGGGCGGAAGCCUGAUGCAGCAACGCCGCGUGCGGGAUGACGGCCUUCGGGUUGUAAACCGCUUUCGCCUGUGACGAAGCGUGAGUGACGGUAAUGGGUAAAGAAGCACCGGCUAACUACGUG
rnacentral:rRNA from 1 species